rnacentral:rRNA from 1 species
GAUGAACGCUAGCUCCCGUUUUAGCACAUGCAAGUCGAGGGGCAGCAUGAAAGGAACUUCGGUUCUUUUUGAUGGCGACCGGCGCACGGGUGCGUAACGCGUAUCGAACCUGCCUCAUACUCGGGGAUAGCCUUGCGAAAGUAAGAUUAAUACCCGGCGGUCUCGGAUGGCCGCAUGACUAUCCGAGUGAAGAUUUAUCGGUAUGAGAUGGCGAUGCGUCCCAUUAGCUUGUUGGUGGGGUAACGGCUCACCAAGGCAUCGAUGGGUAGGGGUUCUGAGAGGAAGGUCCCCCACAUUGGAACUGAGACGCGGUCCAAACUCCUACGGGAGGCAGCAGUGAGGAAUAUUGGUCAAUGGACGAAAGUCUGAACCAGCCAAGUAGCGUGCAGGAUGACGGCCCUCUGGGUUGUAAACUGCUUUUAGUUGGGAAUAAAAAGAGGGACGUGUCCCUUAUUGUAUGUACCAUCAGAAAAAGGACCGGCUAAUUCCGUGCCAGCAGCCGCGGUAAUACGGAAGGUCCAGGCGUUAUCCGGAUUUAUUGGGUUUAAAGGGAGCGCAGGCGGCGGCGUAAGUCAGUUGUGAAAUCGUGCGGCUUAACCGUGCAAUUGCAGUUGAUACUGCGUCGCUUGAGUGCACACAGGGAUGUUGGAAUUCAUGGUGUAGCGGUGAAAUGCUUAGAUAUCAUGAAGAACUCCGAUCGCGAAGGCAUAUGUCCGGAGUGCAACUGACGCUGAGGCUCGAAAGUGUGGGUAUCANACAGG